GUGUGGCGAAAAGCCCGCGAUGGAGCACUGGCAAUACGUGACCCAGGGCCAGACUGCCCGCAUCAGCUUUACCAGUGCCGAUAAGGCAAUCGGUGCCCAGGGUUUCCGUAUCAUCUGGACCGAGGUACAGGACACACCGGUCGGGUCCUCGUCCACGAUAUCGCUGCUGUGCGAAUCGACCUACCACUUCCAGUGUCUCACGUCCGGGUACUGCAUCUCGGAGCGGUUGCGCUGCGAUGGCGUCAAAAAUUGCGGCCCGCUGGACAAUAGCGAUGAAAUGCACUGUGAAGCAUCGACACGAUCGCUUCCCGCGUUUGCAACACUUCUAGUCGUGGUUUGGCUUUUUAGAGUGUUUUUCCAUCAAACAGAAUCUGUUUCGCUGUGAUGGAAACGUCCAUGCUUCACACUUUGCACGGAUAGAAGAUAGUGAUUGGAAAUUUUCCAAGAUCUACUAUAUCCUUUGCGACAUUGGAUGUGUCGUUUCAAUGUCCAGUGCUUCCUACAACAACUCUCAAAACGAUUUUGAGCCGCCUUAAUAGGCACUUCAACCAAACCAAAUACUCUCAAAAUAUAAAUACCCCUGAAACAGAACACCUUAAACCCCCUGGACAGGACAGUUUACGCCAACGAUGAUCUAUAUCGAGAAAAAAAAAUCAUGAUCCUUACUAUCCACUUACAAAAAAACAUUCAAAAACGUCUACGAUCAAGCCGACUAACUCUAAUCUGAUCCAAGCAUCAUCAUAGUACCCGAGGAGGAUCACGGCGCCUUAAUAAUAUCCUGCAUAGCCGCCGCCUCGUUCCUAACCUGUCUCCUCUGCACUCUCUGUCAUCGAAAAAGAAAACGCAGACAUCACAGACAGCUGGGGCUGCAUAGGAAUGCGGCCCACUACGACUCGACCACCAGUGCAACCGGCCUUGGAUCGAGUCGGCGUCAUCUGCAGGGUGGUGGCAGCCUUUCCGGCAGUCUGCACGGCAUCAACAACGGUGAACCGAUGCACAUACCGCCCGCCCCACUUCCCCCGGUCAGCGUGCCGCCUCACGUCUGCAUCAACGAUACGCUGAUCGAUACGGACGACCUGAACGACGAUCUGUUCAUGAGCAACUGUGAGCGAUUCUCGAGCGGUGACAGUGUAUAGCAAUGAGUGCCGACAGCGGGCCUGCCAGUGAGGCCGGGUUCGCGUACGAUGCUGACGGCGCCCGAAGCACGGCCACGAAAGUCGACCCGUCACUGCCGGUGUGCCUGCAGCUUCUGCCAACAUUUUCUGGAGGCGCAAAACUGCUGCUCGCUCUACUACUACUACCCGUGCGAUUCGUGCUACCUGCUGCUGACGCUGCUCUGCGUGCCGGGCACCGAGCUGGAGCACAGCCCGGUCUAUGGGCCCACCGUACGGUAGGGCGUUCGGAUGGGUUGGCACGGAACACAGUCGUGCGAAACACAGUAGAUAAAUAAAAUAUUUUAAUUGUGAAUAUGGAUAUCCUUCGCCAUCAGUAAGUCCACCCGCCCAUUCCCUCGUUCCCCCCAAAAACCCCUCCUUUCCCCUGGAACCCGAUCCCCUUACUCAUCAACCCACGCGAGAGGUUUGGGCGAAUGGCGAGCAACACUAAUAACGAUGAGUGUGUAAAACAAGAUUUCAUAAUACUUAAAUUAAACCGCGGAAGCCAAAUACGAUUCAAUCGAUACGCAGUAAAAUAAAAAAACAAGGAAAAAGGAAAAAAGUCGGUGCAGUCGGUGCAAAAUACAGGUUGAUUUUUGUUCUUUUCGAGAAUCGAGAACGAACCGGCAUUACGAGUGAUGCACUCGCGCUCGAACCCCGCGGUGGUUUUUCGAUGGUGAUGCGCCUUGCAUGCCUGUGCACACACACACACACACACGAGCGCCUGCAUAAGGACAGGACGAGAGGUGCACAACACUAGCCAACCCACGGACAGGGAAUUGGGAGCUAGGUGGGGCGCUCCGGGGCGCUUGCGGGUAGACGCGCGCACCAAACUGGCAGGGGACAAUUUUAUUUGUAGGUUCAUUUUAUACGAAAGCAAAUACCGGUAAACUAAACGUGAAGUAAGUAACCACAGUAAAGCAAACCCUUUUUAACAAUAUUUCAAUCUAGCAAAAAAAAAAAAGAUGAAGGAAGAAAGGAAAAAAAGAGAAGACAGUAGAUGGAGAGGGAAAACAAGGCGUAAGUAAACAGUAUAACAAUGUGUAUGUGAAGAUAAAACUAAUAAAAACAAACAAAACAAAUACUAAUAAACUGCACCUCGGGUAAGGAAACGAGGAGAAUAAAGAGUAAAAGACAAAGCAAAACAAAAUAGGAAAUAUCUAAUACAAUUUACGCCAGUGCAGAGAGGCAGAGGAAAAAGAAGCGAAGGGGAAAAAACAAAACAAGCAAACACACAAUACAACUAAACUAAAACUAAAAUCAAUCAUCUCUAUUCAUGGCGUGUCGAACACCCUUAUUCUCAAGAAGCAUAAAAUCCUCCCCCCCCCUCUCUUCCCUUCACCCCCCCCCCCCCGCUCCCCGUCUUUCCGGACGACAGAUGCUUCGCCUAUGGUAUCCACUACUAAAACACAGGCUAUUGACAUUUUUCGUACUGGAACAAUCGAAAAAAACAAGCUCGCUACGAAACGCUUCAAACAUCCCUCUGCGUAAACGUCUGCACGACUAUUCACUGAAGCGCCGUAUCAUUCACACUCACACAUCUAACGAGACAACUCCAACGUGAGAAAAUCGCAAACGAACAUAAAACAAAAAACCAGUAAAACAACGCGUACCAUAUUAACAAAACUAACAUACUGAAAAAUGCUAGCAAAGACAAAAUGGCAACAAGUAACAUAACAUAAAUUUAUCUGCCCGAAACGAACGCAGAAUGUAGGAAAACGGAAGUAACCAAGCAAACAAACAAACAAAAACAAAGAAUUUGUAACAUAAAGUAAUGAUUAAAAAGCAAAAAAAAACAAGGAAUCACACACACACACACACGCGCGCGCGCAGAAGUGAGGAAAUGUUGUUUUUAUAUAUUUGUACGAACUAGUUAUUAGAAAUUAACAAGAAAUUAAUAUGAAAACUGUGGGGAAAGAAAAUUGUAAGAAAAAAUAUGAAAUAAAGCAAACGGGCGGCAGGUUAAUGGUUGGCACGAUAUUAUCGGAGGGGAAAACAAAAACCAUCUUGCAAAAGGAUGGAAAAGAAAGAAGGAAGGAAAAAAACACGAUACGCUCUCUCUCUCUCUCUCUCGCUGAUAGUAAUGCAAUACCGCAACGCUAAAGAGAAACAAAGGGAUAGAAAGAAAAAGUGGAAAAUGCUAAGGAGAAAUGAAAGCGAACACGUGAAAACGAAAAAAAAGGAAAAAGGCGAAAGAUAAAAAGCAAAAGCAACAGAAAAAAAAAACAAAAAAGGUAAAGCAAAAGUAAUAACUUACAAUGAAACAGAUUUUACUACUACUACCGUACACACACACACUAUCGAACAGGCGCAUAUAAUAUAAUUAGCAAAAAUAACAACAAAAACAAACACAAUAACCACGCUCUCCCCCGUCUUAUUGUGCCCUGGGGUGCGUGUUCAACAAAAUGGGGGAAGGGGUCAAGGGAGAAGGAGCUAGCGCACACGCUCACACACACACACGCACUCAUUUCAGUUUUAGGUUUGGGGUUGGGGGGGGGGAGGGGUCGAGUUUGUAAAGUGUGUCUUAUGCCGAACGUUUGUAUGUGUGUGUUGGGGUAUUUUGCUAAAUCAAUGGGUAAUGGGGGGGUUUACGUUUGUGUUACACGCGGAUACGGUUCAUUGUUGCUAAUUGUAUAAGUUCGUUUCCAACCAAUUACACCUAAAAACCCGUGUGUGUGUGUGCAUGUGUAUGUGUGUAGAUUCGCGCACUUCCUGUUUCGCGAAGCGAAGGAAAAUCGAUUUUCCGCGAACGGAUGGCAAUUUAAUUUAUUCGCCUUUACCUCACCAGAUCAUGUGUGUAUGUGUGUGUGUGUGUGUAUGUAUGAUCAUUUAACAAACAAAGCAAUGCACGGCGAAAUAAACGUAGUAGAAUUCUACACACACACACCCAUGCACACACACACAUAUAUUCUGAUUUCACGCUUACUAUAUUGAAUGUCACAACUCACACACCUCGAAAGCCGUUAACGCUGGCAGAGAACAAAAAAAAGCAAAGCUAAACCCUAACAACAGCAAAAAAACAUUAAACGAAUAACAAGCACAAACGGUAAACGUGCGUGGCAUUAACCUUUAACAUUAAUCCAAAAUUAAAAGUAAAGUACACGAAAUGCAGCAACAAACACAAAACAAUGCAAUAAAGAGAAGCAAACAAGAAGCGAGAACCCAUGCAAUCAUACCUGUUGACCGUUUGCCGAGCACAAACCGGCACAGACGGCUAAAUGAGCCUUUUUGUGUGCAUACUAAAACAGUAGAACAAGACGCGUGUUGAAAGCAAGAGAAGAGAAAAAAACAACACCCUCUCCUCCCCCCCACACAAAAGCCAACGGAACCGGAACAACUCAACGCAGCUGUAAUCAUAGAACGAUUAACCAUGUAUUCAAUGUGAGUGUGUGAGUGUGUGUGUGUGUGUGUGUGUGUGUGUGUGUGUGUGUGUGUGUGUGUGUGUGUGUGUGUGUGUGUGUGGGGGCGUGUGUGUAAAGUAACGUUAAACUAAACAUGAAGAAGAUUAGGGAAAAGUUGAAGGGGAAUAAACAUUUUAACAGAAAACUGCAAAGAAUAGAACAAAAAAAAACAAGCAAACAGAAAAAAAUAACGAAAAGAAGAAGACGAUUGCCAGAAACAGUACGGUUAACGAAAAAGAAGAAAAAAAGAUUAAACAAAUUAGGCAAAAACAAAACAUAAGAAAUAACUCAAGCAUUCCUUACGAGACACACACGCACAUACACACAAACGAAAAGAGACAUUAACAGAAAUCGUAAACCACAAGCAAAAUUAAUCGUAUAAUGAAGAAUGUAUGCGUCCACUUUAUUAAACAAAUGGGAAGGAAAAUGGUCAGGCAACAUAAGUGUGUAAGAAAUUGAAAAGUAGAAGGAAAAGCGAUAGGAAAGGGAAGAAAAAGCCUAGCAGAAUCAAAAGAAGGAAAUAGAGAACUAAAAAGAUAGGAAAACAAAGGAAACAGGUGAUAACUGGCAUGGCAAAAGGGUAUACAAACAUAGAACAGGUAAUAGUAGCUUCCAGAGUGGAAAAUCUCGUUUUUUUUGUCAAAGUCCUUUUUUCUUCCUUUCUUCUACAAUUUUCCUGUCUUUUUCGUGCAACACAACACAGAAAAUGCAGUCAUUAAAAAGGGUAACACGACUCCCCGGUUGAUGCUGUGUGUUCUCUAUCUUAUGUCAAGCCAUUUUUAAGCCCGCCCUUUUUGAGUUCCAAAUUUUCCUACGAAAGUUUGUUACAUAGAUUGUACGACUGUGGCAGUAUCGAAAUGGGUGGCACGCAUGGCAAGGAAAUGGGUGACGAAAAAUUGGUUUCAUGUUCACUAGCAAUGGGCGUCGUCACACUGCAAUAUGCCAAACAUAAUAUCAAGCCAAUAUGUGUGUGGUCGUUCGUCGCUUAGUAUCGCGAUUUGAAUAUUUCUGUCUACACACACAAACACACACACACACGCGCGCGACACGGUCUUGUGAAACAGGCGCCGUUGAAUGGACCGAGUUCAGUAUGGGAGCAUACGAAUUUUGGAAAUUAUUGUUCUAUUAGUUUCGUUCUGCCGUUAGUAACGUUCGUUUUUGGAUUCAAACUUUCAAAUUUUUGAAUUUUGAACGUGUCGUUUCCAUUGUUACGGUUGAGUGUGGCUGAGACGGGGGGAAAAACAGAACAGACGGGACAGGACGGGAAAGAGAAAAUCACUGCCUAAACAAGUAAACACAUAUUUAAAACAAUUUUAUCCAACAAAGCAAACCCCGAACGAACGGAAGUGGGACAGAUGAACAUAUACAUACAGUAGACACAUUCAACCAAGCUCCUGCUGGCCCCUGCUGGGAUAGAUUUGGCAUUUGUGUCAUGGCUCAGUUCUUUUACUCCGAUUUUGGUUUCUGCAAUCAAGUUAACAGCAGCUUUCUUGCCUUUCGGUUUCCCCCCAAAUUCCCAUGAGCAAAGCUACACGCAAACUAAAACUAUGACAAUCGAUUGUUUCAACCUGAAGACCUGGCGAGUGGUACGGCGAUCGAAGAACACAGAACUCAUCGCAGAGGACCUUGGUUUGAUUUCCCUAUAUUUUUCACCAUACUGUCUCACGCUCGCUCUCACGCGCGCUCUCUCUCUCUCUCUAGCCAACACAUCUAGCCAAUCAAUCAAAGCCAACUCUAAUUAGGAAAAGCCACAUACUCUAACAUACCGAUCGAGCGAACGCCGUGAAGAGCAACAGUAACAUAGCUUCACAUUUAUAAUGCCACUAUUAACUACUAACUGAACCAUUUCCCUCGAUGGUGGGAUAACCGGGGGGGAUGAAGGGGGUCAGUCAGGAGCUACACUUAUCUAAAUUAAACGCAUACUAAUAACAAACGGGAGGCACUAAAACAAUGGAGGGCAACAUUUGCACGUGAACCGUGCGACAUUAAGCAAUCGUGUUCACGGAAAGUGUCCACGAGUCAUACAAGCAAUCCAACUGGUAAGCAGCACGGUUUGCGCGGAAAAGCGAGCGAGUGACGCGACCGAUAGAGAGAGAGAGCGAGAGAGUGGCAGAGAGAGAGAGAGAACGAGCGAAAGUGUGUGCGUGUGUGUGGGGUGUGCGCGAGCGGAGUGGAAUGCGGUGGAAUGUGGCGCGGCGAGGCGAGCAGAUAUUGAAAACAAUUAAGAAAAAAAAAGUAAUUCCUAAUGUUGUUUGUUAUAAUCAAAAAAUAAACUGUUACAUAAAUUAUAAAAAAAUAAUAACAAAAAACGUAAGAACGUAUCUGGACAAAAAAAAAAUGGAAAGCAACAAAAAAAAACAUGUUAAGAGUAUAGAACUCAUUUUGAUAUUAAUAAAAACGGAAGAAAAACAAAAAACACAGACAAAACGCCCACAAAUAACAUACUUGCGGGUGUUUGCGCAAUGGCGCUCGCGCAAAACCGAACCGAAAAACCGAAAACAAAAACGGUCAAUGCGGUUUGAAAACGGUGGCAAGAGGAGGCGACCGAUUACGAUAACGAAGCGAGGAGGGUGGGAGGGUGUAAACCACUGUCUAGCGGAAGCGGAAUACACGAUAGCUGUAGCAAAACAAGACAGAAGAGGAAGCAAAAAAAAACAAACAAAAGGGUAUUAAGGAAACAGUGGUGGUGAAAUAUGAUAAACAGCCAAACACUGGAAUAAACAUUAAAAUAAAAUGGGAGAAAAGAAAACGGGAGGUAAACAAUUAACGUAACAACAAAAGCAACAAACAAACAACAAAAGCCACAAAUACACUCACACACAAGUUACACGCACGAAAUAAGCAAACAAGCAAACGAAACAAACACACUUCCAUACAAACAGACAGACCGACACAGCGAAGUGGAAAACAGAACAGUGAAAAAGUACAGAAGUACACAUACCACACACACACACAAAUACAAACACACACAUACGAGUGUAACACAGCAAAGCAAAUGGAAAACAGGAGAGUAACAAUGGUGAAGCAAACAAGCAGUGCUAGGAAGGGCAAAAGAAAGCUGUAAUUUUAAGAAUCAAUAACGUGAGUUAACGAAAAAUAUAAGAUAAUGAUUUAAAGAAGAUAGUGUUUUUUCGACAAA